AUCCUUGCAAGAUUGCAGGAUAGAUCAAAUAUGACACUGCAUUUCCUUUGCUGAAACUCCAACACCUUGUAACUUUCCUGCAUCUCGCGAACUGAAACUGAAAAUUCCGUCAUUGCCCAACUCAGAGUGUUGAACAAAUGAUUCAGAAAGGUAGAAAAUAGUUCUUCAUCAUGCAAGCAAACCUCUCGCAAUAAUUUCUGAUAUAUAACUGAUGAAGAGGAAGAUGAUUCUCCACGUUUUGAUGAUCCAAAGCCUGAACCUUUGCACAAACGGAGAAGUAUAUUUGUUACAGGAAUCCAUGAUCUACUGUCAAAAGUAGAUAGUAGUGCUUUAGGCAUUCUCUGCAUUGCGGCUUCAUUACAUUCUAAUUCAGACAAGAACUCCUUGUACUGCACCAAGAUAUAAAUAGACUGCAGAAGAAGAUCUCGCAACUCCACACUCGAUAUCCUUGGAUCAUUGAAGUGGGUGACAACAAAAGUAACAAAGGAUGUGAGUCCUUGCUUGAGAAAUAUUGUAGCAGGCACAAAAGGAGGAUCACUUUUACGAAGUACGUGGAAGCAGUCCACCAAAGUUUCCAAAUAGUACUCAGGAAUAUAAAGGAAGACUGAGUCAUCUUUGCUAAGAAUUAAAAGCAACUGAACAAUCCACAUGCACGCUGCAUACAUCCCCCUCUGCUUCCACCGAGAAAAUAGAGAAAUACGAUACCAAGCACAAUGUCUGACACAAUCCAUUACUUCUUCUCUAUAUACACCACGAACCUCCUUCAGGCGCUUUACAUGCUCCCUGUUAACGUUUUCUCUGAUCUGCUUAUCAGUUUCUUCCAGAAGAGAGAUAGACUGUGAUUGCCGAUUCAUAUACAAUGAUGCCUGCUUGAAAUUGGGUGCAAGACCUAAAUGGUACAGCAAAAGCAUGGUAUCCAGUAGCUCCUCUUCUUUUAGUGUUGCUGAAGAAACAUUGUUCUCUCUGGGAACAUAUCUCAUUUGCUGCAUAGGAAGGAAGCCAAACUCUGAAUCCGACUGAUCACUCGUGCUUGGUUUAUCUGCAAUAUCAUCAUUCAAACUACUGGUGCUGCAUUCUGCAGCAACAUGAGCA
rnacentral:misc_RNA from 1 species